rnacentral:tRNA from 1 species
AGCUCAGUGAUAGAGCACAUGCUUAAGAUGCAUGAGGCCCAGGGUUCAAUACCUGG